rnacentral:misc_RNA from 1 species
CGCACAUUGCGCCCGCCAGUACUCUGGCGGGCAUGCCUGUUCGAGCGUCAUUUCAACCCUCAAGCCCCGCUUGGUGUUGGGGUCCUACGGCUGCCGUAGGCCCUGAAAGCUAGUGGCGGGCUCGCUAUAACUCCGAGCGUAGUAGUAAAAUAUCUCGCUAGGGAGGUGUCGCGGGUUCCGGCCGUGAAAGCCCAUCUUUUACACAAGGUUGACCUCGGAUCAGGUAGGAAUACCCGCUGAACUUAA